CCUACGGGGGACAGCAGUGGGGAAUAUUGCACAAUGGGGGAAACCCUGAUGCAGCGACGCCGCGUGGGUGACGAAGUAUUUCGGUAUGUAAAGCCCUAUCAGCAGGGAAGAAGAUGACAGUACCUGACCAAGAAGCCCCGGCUAACUACGUGCCAGCAGCCGCGGUAAUACGUAGGGGGCAAGCGUUAUCCGGAUUUACUGGGUGUAAAGGGAGCGUAGGUGGCAUGGCAAGCCAGAAGUGAAAACCCGGGGCUUAACCCCGCGGAUUGCUUUUGGAACUGUCAGGCUGGAGUGCAGGAGGGGCAGGCGGAAUGCCUGGUGUAGCGGUGAAAUGCGUAGAUAUCAGGAGGAACACCGGUGGCGAAGGCGGCCUGCUGGACUUUAACUGACACUGAGGCUCGAAAGCGUGGGGAGCAAACAGGAUUAGAUACCCCGGUAGUC
rnacentral:rRNA from 1 species